rnacentral:rRNA from 1 species
GACGUAGGGCGCGAGCGUUGUCCGGAUUUAUUGGGCGUAAAGAGCUCGUAGGCGGUUUGUCGCGUCGUCUGUGAAAACCCACGGCUCAACUGUGGGCUUGCAGUCGAUACGGGCAGGCUAGAGUUCGGUGGGGGAGACUGGAAUUCCUGGUGUAGCGGUGAAAUGCGCAGAUAUCAGGAGGAACACCGGUGGCGAAGGCGGGUCUCUGGGCCGAUACUGACGCUGAGGAGCGAAAGCGUGGGGAGCGAACAGG